CACAGGUGUGCUCAGUGAAGGUCGAGGAAUCCAAACAGCUGAGACGGAAACUGGGUGCUGGCGGCGUCUGGGUAUCCCUCGACACUCUCCAGAGGGGCCUGAUGACCCCGACGGAGUACUGGUAUACCAGGAGCACCUUCAGGAAAAAUCCGAACAAGAACGGAAGAGGAACGCAAGGGGCAGCUCCUCCCCCUACAGGAGGUAACCAGAGCUCCUCACAGAGAAGUCAUCACAGUCUUGAAUGUUUUGAUUCUACGGUAAACAACGAGGAGAGAACAGCGACUGGUGUUCUCUCUGUCGAACACGGGAAGAACAAAGUUAGGAAAAAUAUAUAAACAUUCGUAUUUCUACCUCCAUGAACAUUCCUUUAGCGUAUGGGGAUGUGCCACUCAAAACCACGAAACCUGAAAUAUUUACAGUCGACAUCAAGAACGAAAACUAAACCCCCAAAAUGUAUACAAGAAACCCUAUGAGGUGUAUAAGGCACUUUGAAAAAUAUUAUCCACCUGAGAUUAUCUGUUUAUAAAGUUUACCCCCUUAUACCUGCCAGGUGAUUGUAUAAAGAAAACUAAUACCCACAACACACAGAGCAUCUCCAGGUGUUUACAUGAGGCCCUUAGACGAGAGAUAAGUUAGACAUGAACCAAGAUGUCUACACUCACAUUUUUUUAUCAAGAUCACGACUUUUUACUUGUCAACAGAGAUUCCUUGAAGGCAAUAUGAGGCAACAGAGAAUAUUUCACAGUGACUUAAACUCAUUAUAGGUAUUAUAAUGUUAUCCUACACACUACACGACAAGCCUCGCUCCCUCUCACCUGCUUGCUGCCUCUCUAUCGCCUCAAGGUUUAUACCACAUUUUUGACCAAGUGAGAGGAAUCCAUCACCUUCAAUUUAUAGAACCCAGGAGCUACAUUGACGUUUGAGGAAAUUAGGACAGGGUUGUGAUAAGGUGUUGGUAAGGGGGGGGGGGCGAGUGAUGGAAGCAGUGUUGCCAACUCACCUGUACCGUGAUGUGUACAGGUAGUUAUUGUAUACAAACCUAACGCCAACCUAACCAAACGACAACAUAACCUAACCUAACCAAACCUAACCCAACCUAACCA